AGCUCCUCGAGUGGUGGGGAUAAUUAUUGGGCUUAAAGCGUCCGUAGCCGGCUUACUAAGUCUUCCGUUAAAUCCAGCGACUUAAUCGUUGGACUGCGGGAGAUACUGCUAGGCUAGGGGGCGGGAGAGGCCGACGGUAUUCUUGGGGUAGGGGUGAAAUCCUAUAAUCCUGAGAGGACCACCAGUGGCGAAGGCGGUCGGCUAGAACGCGCUCGACGGUGAGGGACGAAAGCUGGGGGAGCGAACCGGAUUAGAUACCCGAGUAGUCC
rnacentral:rRNA from 1 species